rnacentral:rRNA from 1 species
UGGGGAAUCUUCCGCAAUGGACGAAAGUCUGACGGAGCAACGCCGCGUGUAUGAUGAAGGUCUUCGGAUUGUAAAGUACUGUCAUUGGGGAAGAACGGUUUUCUUGAAAAGAUUGAGAAGACAUGACGGUACCCAAGGAGGAAGCCCCGGCUAACUACGUGCCAGCAGCCGCGGUAAUACGUAGGGGGCAAGCGUUGUCCGGAAAUUAUUGGGCGUAAAGGGCGCGUAGGCGGGCCUUUAAGUCCGGUGUGAAAGAUCAGGGCUCAACCCUGAGAGUGCAUCGGAAACUGGAGGCCUUGAGGACAGGAGAGGAAAGUGGAAUUCCACGUGUAGCGGUGAAAUGCGUAGAUAUGUGGAGGAACACCAGUGGCGAAAGGCGACUUUCUGGACUGUAACUGACGCUGAGGCGCGAAAAGCGUGGGGAGCAAAACAGGAUUAGAUACCCUGGUAGUCCACGCCGUAAAACGAUGAGUGCUAGGUGUAGAGGGUAUCGACCCCCUUCUGUGCCGCAGUUAAACACAAUAAAGGCACUCCCGCCUGGGGAGUACGGCCNCAAGGUUGAAACUCAAAAUGAAUUGACGGGGUCAUAGCUG